rnacentral:piRNA from 1 species
AGAGCUGUAACACUCACGGGGAAGGUCUGC